AGAGUUUGAUCAGUGGCUCAGGACGAACGCUGGCGGUAUGCCUAACACAUGCAAGUCGAACGAAAAACGAGGGCUUGCUCUCGUUUUUAGUGGCGCACGGGUGAGUAACGCGUAGGUAAUCUGCCGCAAAGAUGGGGACAACAGUUCGAAAGGACUGCUAAUACCGAAUGUUGUAAGUAAUUCGCAUGAGUAACUUACUAAAGAUUUAUCGCUUUGCGAGGAGCCUGCGUCCGAUUAGGUAGUUGGUAAGGUAAGAGCUUACAAAGCCGACGAUCGGUAACCGGUCUGAGAGGAUGAACGGUCACAUUGGAACUGAGACACGGUCCAGACUCC
rnacentral:rRNA from 1 species